rnacentral:misc_RNA from 1 species
GUGAGUCAUCGAAUCUUUGAACGCACAUUGCGCCUGCCAGUAUUCUGGCAGGCAUGCCUGUCCGAGCGUCAUUUCAACCCUCAGGCCUCGCCUGGCGUUGGGGACCUGCGCCUGCAGCCCCCGAAAGACAGCGGCGGUCUCGUACCGGCUCUGAGCGUAGUAGCAUACGUCGCUCUUGGGUCGGGGCGGGCUCGGCCGUAAAACCCCCAUCUUACAAAGGUUGACCUCGGAUCAGGUAGGAAUACCCGCUGAACUUAAGCAUAUCAAUAAGCGGAGGA